CCUACGGGUGGCAGCAGUGGGGAAUAUUGGGCAAUGGGCGCAAGCCUGACCCAGCAACGCCGCGUGAAGGAAGAAGGCUUUCGGGUUGUAAACUUCUUUUCUGAGGGACGAAGAAAGUGACGGUACCUCAGGAAUAAGCCACGGCUAACUACGUGCCAGCAGCCGCGGCAAGACGUCGGGUGCAAGCGUUCUGCGGAUUUAAUGGGUGUAAAGGGCGUGUAGGCGGGAAAGCAAGUCAGAUGUGAAAAGUCAGGGCUCAACCCCGAGCCUGCAGUUGAAACUGUUUGUCUUGAGUGCUGGAGAGGCAAUCGGAAUUCGGUGUGUAGCGGUGAAAUGCGUAGAUAUCCGGAGGAACACCAGUUGCGAAGGCGGAUUGCUGGACAGUAACUGACGCUGAGGCGCGAAAGCGUGGGGAGCGAACAGGAUUAGAUACCCUGGUAGUC
rnacentral:rRNA from 1 species